rnacentral:lncRNA from 1 species
UCACUUUUUGAGGAAAAAAAGAAAACGUCCAGUGAGAAGUUUGCGAGAAGUAGCGCUUUUGGCGAAGGUUUAUGAUCGCGUAAGCGCGCUCGCUAAUAAGAUUACCGAACAAUUCGUUCAACUGUCGUGGGCACGGCUGCCUCUGGCAUUUUUGCGGCAAGUUUUGCAGCAAGAAGAAAAAACGGUCAACCGAGCAGGUGAAGCAGACGGAGAGCGAGAAGGAGAGGGAGAGACCAAGUGGAAACUUUUCCAUCACUGGCCGAACAAAUCAGAGUUCAACGACACGAAAAGACAUCACUGAUACUCUCACGAGGAGAAAGAAAUUCUGUAAAUCUCGGCGUUAUUCUCACGAGUUAUUGUUUCGAACGUAUCCUCUCUCGACCUCUCGUUCCGACACGGCGGCUGCAUCUCCGACGAAACGCCGACUUCCUCCUCGCUUAAACGCGGGAACAUCGAUAUCCGAGGGGGAUUUCGAGUUUCGAGUCCGCACGUUCCCCAUUGGGUUGCUACUUCCGGCCUCGGUCAGCCAGACCGGAACACGCCGGGGCUCUCGGGUACACCGUGACGUCAGAGUAUCGUCAAAAAUUAGGGAGAAACCGAUCUGCAGGGGUCCCGCACCAGGAUGUAGUUAAUACCGCGACUUUAGCUCGCACCGAAGACGAUUACCAGCCCGGUUAUCAUUUUCCACGCUUAUGAACGGCAUAAUGGGAGACACGCUCACGAGGCAUGCGCGAUCGUGACCGAUCGGCUCUCGGAGGAAAACGCCUUGUGAAAGGAUAUUCAACAGCUGACACUCCGGCGGGGAGAAAGUAAGAGAGCGAAAGACAUCGGACGAAACGGACGAACGAAGAAGUCGCGAAGAAUAAGGCACGAAAACAAGGUUCGAAGCUCUACCCUUUAGCCAGCGGCGCGAGCACCUGGCAGCAUAUGCGUCAGGUUAAAAUGGAAGAGGACAAGCGUCCUCUCUCGUUCCGUGAAUUCUUUGCACGCUCGGGAGCGGCCGAAAAGUGCGGAAUCAGAAAAUGCGCGUGCGCGCGGCUUUCUUCGCGCGUCGAAAUUAACGGGAGCGCGCCGUGUGUCGACGCGGAUGGCUCGGUCAGCUGUUACUUGUGAUUCAUGCCGAGCACGUAUCAUCGGCGGACGACGAACGUCUACGAACGUUACGGGGUCCCUGCUUCACGCUCUUGCGUUCAGCUUCUUCUCGUCGAUCGCGAGUAGGAGCCUCUUAACCUCUUAACUGCUAAUGACGGAAAUAUCCGCGGAAAGGAAAGUGGGCCAAACUGUUAACCAGUUUUUUACUGCUAAAGGCCAUUACACACAAACGAACUUAAGCAGCAAGACGUGCAAGCAGUAAGCAAAUCGAUCGAUCACAAUCGAAAUUUAAGGAUGCCAUUUUAAAACUUACGAGAAUAAUUGAUUGUGAUUGGUCAGUUUCUUUACUGCUUAAGUUCAUUUGUGUGUGAUGGCCUUAAUGACUCAAAUGUGAGCACCAUGAAUAGCACCAAUCUGCUACGGAUUUACAUUGAACUUGAUACGUCCACGCUUUUUGGGUCGCCGACUGUGAAUCCGGAAUCAAAUUUAGGAAAUUUAUAACGAACCCAAUAUGGCAGCGAUGGAUUCUGUCCUCUCGUUCAGUUGGGGAGUAAAUUUUCCCACGUUCUAUGAAGGGUCUAGCUCUCGUUUUUCAAGAAAUUUUGUUAUAAACUAUGUAUAAAACAAUACAUGAAUAUUCAGAACUGACUUUAAAGAAAAUUUGUCCCUGGGAUCCGUAAUGAAUGAUUCGAAAAAUAUUAUACUAGUUUUGAGUGCAUACCCAAAAUGAAAUAACAAAGUUUGAAUGUCUUGAACCAAUCCGUUAUCUGCGACCAAAAAACAUGCCGAGUUUGAUACGUAUCCGUAAUAAAGUAUCAAAGUAGCUACUUGGAGCUGCCAUAUUGAAUUUUGAAUUCCGUCACUUACAGCUAAAAAGUUAAACAGUUUGCGCGUUUGCUCCAACUUUUCCGAGGAGCUUCGCAGGUGAAUUUGCUUUAAUAAGUAACUUUAAUGGUAGAAGUCAUCAUUUC